rnacentral:rRNA from 1 species
GUGCCAGCAGCCGCGGUAAUUCCAGUCUCCAAUAGCGUAUAUUAAAGUUGUUGCAGUUAAAAAGCUCGUAGUUGAACCUUGGGCCUGGCUGGCCGGUCCGCCUCACCGCGUGUACUGGUCCGGCCGGGCCUUUCCUUCUGGGGAACCUCAUGCCCUUCACUGGGCGUGUUGGGGAACCAGGACUUUUACUUUGAAAAAAUUAGAGUGUUCAAAGCAGGCCUUUGCUCGAAUACAUUAGCAUGGAAUAAUAGAAUAGGACGUGUGGUUCUAUUUUGUUGGUUUCUAGGACCGCCGUAAUGAUUAAUAGGGAUAGUCGGGGGCAUCAGUAUUCAAUCGUCAGAGGUGAAAUUCUUGGAUUGAUUGAAGACUAACUACUGCGAAAGCAUUUGCCAAGGAUGUUUUCAUUAAUCAGUGAACGAAAGUUAGGGGAUCGAAGACGAUCAGAUACCGUCGUAGUCUUAACCAUAAACUAUGCCGACUAGGGAUCGGACGGUGUUGGUAUUUUGACCCGUUCGGCACCUUACGAGAAAUCAAAGUUUUUGGGUUCUGGGGGGAGUAUGGUCGCAAGGCUGAAACUUAAAGAAAUUGACGGAAGGGCACCACCAGGCGUGGAGCCUGCGGCUUAAAUUUGACUCAACACGGGGAAACUCACCAAGGUCCAGACACAAUAAGGAUUGACAGAUUGAGAGCUCUUUCUUGAUUUUGUGGGUGGUGUGCAUGACGUUCUAGUUGGUCGAGUGAUUUGUCUGCUUAAAUUGCGAUAAACGAACGAGAACUUAACCUGCUAAAUAAGCCAGGCCCGCUUUGGCGAGUCGGCCGGCUUCUUAAAGGG